GACGAACGCUGGCGGCGUGCUUAACACAUGCAAGUCGAACGGAAAGGCCCUGCUUUUGUGUGGUGCUCGAGUGGCGAACGGGUGAGUAACACGUGAGUAACCUGCCCUUGACUUUGGGAUAACUUCAGGAAACUGGGGCUAAUACCGGAUAGGAGCUCCUGCUGCAUGGUGUGGGUUGGAAAGUUUCGGCGGUUGGGGAUGGACUGGCGGCUUAUCAGCUUUUUGGUGGGGUAGUGGCUUACCAAGGCUUUGACGGGUAGCCGGCCUGAGAGGGUGGCGGGUGAGAUUGGGACCGGGCUCCGGCCGGGAGCAGUAGGGGAGGAAAUAGUGCGGAAGGCUCAAGCCUGGGCGGACGACGGAUGCAGAAACGCGGAGGGCGGGAUGUUGGGAACCGGGUUGUACCCCGGUUAAGCCUGUGCGGAAGUGUGAGUGAGGGUAAUGGGUAAAGAAGCACCGGCUAACUACGUG
rnacentral:rRNA from 1 species